AGAUUAAAGAACCGCUGUGAUGUUCAUUUGGCAUUUGCUCUUCCCCGGAGAGCCUAGGAGACUACAUGCACUGGGAGAGGCCAGCUGCCAAGCCUUGAGCAAUCAUAUGAAGAGGGCCCAGCCAUAGCCAAUUGAGUAAACUUAAAAUCAGAACCUCCAAGCCAGUCAAUCCUCAAAUGAUUGCAGCCUUGACUAUCAUCCUGGCUGCAGUUUUAUGAGAGACUCUGAACCAGAAACCAGCCAGAUACUCAGAAGUCACUCGUCGUGUAAGUGGAAGUUUGUAUUCUUUGACCAGUAUUUCCUGAUUUACCUCACUCCCCAACCUUUG